rnacentral:rRNA from 1 species
CCUACGGGAGGCAGCAGUGAGGAAUUUUCCGCAAUGGGCUAACGCCUGACGGAGCAAUGCCGCGUGGAGGAGGAAGGCCUGUGGGUCGUAAACUCCUUUUCUCAGAGAAGAAGAUCUGACGGUAUCUGAGGAAUAAGCAUCGGCUAACUCUGUGCCAGCAGCCGCGGUAAUACAGGGGAUGCAAGCGUUAUCCGGAAUUAUUGGGCGUAAAGCGUCCUGAGGUGGCUUACCCAGUCGACUGUGAAAGCUCAAGGCUCAACCUUGAAACGGCAGUCGAAGCUUGUAAGCUUGAGUACGGUAGAGGCAGAGGGAAUUCCCGGAGGAGAGGUGAAAUUCGUAGAUAUCGGGAGGAAGGCCAAAGGCGAAAGCACUCUGCUGGGCCGAUUACUGACACUGACAGACGAAAGCUAGGGGAGCGAAAGGGAUUAGAUACCCCUGUAGUCCUAGCCGUAAACGAUGGAUACUAAGUGUUGCGCGACUCAACUCGUGCAGUGCUGCAGACGUAACCGUACGGUAACGGUAACGUCCCCGUCCCGUCGGGGUAGGUAGUGCGUCGCGAAGAGAGAACGUACGAAAGGAAGUUAGUACGGCGUGAGACGUACGACCGAACGGACGACCGACGAGGGAGGAGGG